GUGCCAGCAGCCGCGGUAAGACGAACCGUGCGAACGUUAUUCGGAAUCACUGGGCUUAAAGCGCGUGUAGGCGGGCCGGCACGUCGAUGCUGAAAUCCCCCGGCUUAACCGGGGAACGGGCGUCGAUACGACCGGCCUGGAGGGGGGUAGGGGGAGCCGGAACUUCCGGUGGAGCGGUGAAAUGCGUUGAGAUCGGAAGGAACGCCCGUGGCGAAAGCGGGCUCCUGGACCCCACCUGACGCUGAGACGCGAAAGCCAGGGGAGCGAACGGGAUUAGAAACCCCAGUAGUCC
rnacentral:rRNA from 1 species